rnacentral:rRNA from 1 species
AUUGAACGCUGGCGGAAUGCUUUACACAUGCAAGUCGAACGGCAGCACGGACUUCGGUCUGGUGGCGAGUGGCGAACGGGUGAGUAAUGUAUCGGAACGUGCCCAGUCGUGGGGGAAAACGUAGUGAAAAUUACGCUAAUACCGCAUACGAUCUAUGGAUGAAAGCGGGGGAUCGCAAGACCUCGCGCGAUUGGAGCGGCCGAUAUCAGAUUAGGUAGUUGGUGGGGUAAAGGCCCACCAAGCCAACGAUCUGUAGCUGGUCUGAGAGGACGACCAGCCACACUGGAACUGAGACACGGUCCAGACUCCUACGGGAGGCAGCAGUGGGGAAUUUUGGACAAUGGGCGCAGGCCUGAUCCAGCCAUUCCGCGUGCAGGAUGAAGGCCCUCGGGUUGUAAACUGCUUUUGUACAGAACGAAAAGGUUUCUACUAAUACUAGGAGCUCAUGACGGUACUGUAAGAAUAAGCACCGGCUAACUACGUGCCAGCAGCCGCCGUAA